rnacentral:rRNA from 1 species
GAUGAACGCUGGCGGCGUGCCUAAUACAUGCAAGUCGAGCGAACGGACGAGAAGCUUGCUUCUCUGAUGUUAGCGGCGGACGGGUGAGUAACACGUGGAUAACCUACCUAUAUGACUGAGAUAACUUCGGGACACCGGAUCUAAUACCGUAUAAUAUUCUGAACCGCAUGGUUCAAAAGUGAAAGACGGUCUUGCUGUCACUUAUAGCUGGAUCCGCGCUGCAUUAGCUAGUUGGUAAGGUAACGGCUUACCAAGGCAAGUAUGCGUAGCCGACCGGAGAGAGUGAUAGGCCACACUGGAGGGGAGACAGGGACCAGAGGCCUAAGAGAGGCAGCAGUAGGCAAUGUUCGGCAAUGGGCGAAAGUCUGGCGGAGCGACGCGGCGUGAGUUAUGAAGGCGUUCGGAUCGUAAAACUGUGUUAUUAGGGGAGAACAGAUUUGUAAGGAACUGUGCAGAGCGUGACGGUACCUAAUCAGGAAGCCACGGCUAACUACGUG